rnacentral:rRNA from 1 species
GACGAACGCUGGCGGCGCGCUUAACACAUGCAAGUCGAACGGAAAGGCCUGCUUUCCCUUGUGGAUUGCGGGUACUCGAGUGGCGAACGGGUGAGUAACACGUGAGUGAUCUGCCCCCAACUUGGGUAUAAGCCUGGGAAACUGGGUCUAAUUCCCGAUAGGACUGCAGGGUGGUGCCUGUGGUGGAAAACGAUUUUCUAGUGGUUGGGGAUGAGCUCGCGGCCUAUCAGCUUGUUGGUGGGGUAAUGGCCUACCAAGGCGGCGACGGGUAGCCGGCCUGAGUGGGUGGACGGCCACAUUGGGACUGAGAUACGGCCCAGACUCCUACGGGAGGCAGCAGUGGGGAAUAUUGCACAAUGGGCGGAAGCCUGAUGCAGCGACGCCGCGUGGGGGAUGACGGCCUUCGGGUUGUAAACUCCUUUCGACCGCGAGGAAGCCACCUGGUUGGAAGGGUGGUGACGGUAGUGGUAGAAGAAGCACCGGCUAACUACGUG